GUGGAACUUUCUUGCUAAAAUUUUUAAGAAUACUAUUUGGGUUAAGACCAAUUAGUUCUUAUCAAUUAUAACGAUUAUCAAUUAACAAUCAAUUCAGAACUGGCACGGACUUGGGGAAUCCGACUGUCUAAUUAAAACAAAGCAUUGUGAUGGCCCUAGCGGGUGUUGACACAAUGUGAUUUCUGCCCAGUGCUCUGAAUGUCAAAGUGAAGAAAUUCAAGUAAGCGCGGGUCAACGGCGGGAGUAACUAUGACUCUCUUAAGGUAGCCAAAUGCCUCGUCAUCUAAUUAGUGACGCGCAUGAAUGGAUUAACGAGAUUCCUACUGUCCCUAUCUACUAUCUAGCGAAACCACAGCCAAGGGAACGGGCUUGGAAUAAUUAGCGGGGAAAGAAGACCCUUUUGAGCUUGACUCUAAUCUGGCAGUGUAAGGAGACAUAAGAGGUGUAGAAUAAGUGGGAGAUAUUAGACCUCGGUUUGGUAUCGUCAAUGAAAUACCACUACUCUUAUUGUUUCCUUACUUACUUGAUUAAAUGGAACGUGUAUCAUUUCCUAGCCAUUAUACGGAUAUAUUUAUUAUAUCUUAUGGUAUUGGGUUUUGAUGCAAGCUUCUUGAUCAAAGUAUCACGAGUUUGUUAUAUAAUCGCAAACAAAUUCUUUAAUAAAACGAUGCAUUUAUGUAUUUUUGAUUUGAAAAUUUGGUAUAACUCCAAUUACUCAGGUAUGAUCCAAUUCAAGGACAUUGCCAGGUAGGGAGUUUGACUGGGGCGGUACAUCUCUCAAAUAAUAACGGAGGUGUCCCAAGGCCAGCUCAGUGCGGACAGAAACCACACAUAGAGCAAAAGGGCAAAUGCUGACUUGAUCUCGGUGUUCAGUACACACAGGGACAGCAAAGAGCUCGGCCUAUCGAUCCUUUUGGUUAAAGAGUUUUUAACUAGAGGUGUCAGAAAAGUUUCCAUAGGGAUAACUGGCUUGUGGCGGCCAAGCGUUCAUAGCGACGUCGCUUUAUGAUCCUUCGAUGUCGGCUCUUCCUAUCAUUGUGAAGCAAAAUUCACCAAGCGUUGGAUUGUUCACCCAUGCAAGGGAACGUGAGCUGGGUUUAGACCGUCGUGAGACAGGUUAGUUUUACCCUACUAAUGACAAAACGUUGUUGCGACAGCAUUCCUGCGUAGUACGAGAGGGGCCGCAGGUACGGACCAAUGGCACAAUACUUGUUCGAGCGAACAGUGGUAUGCCUCUACGUCCGUUGGAUUAUGCCUGAACGCCUCUAAGGUCGUAUCCGUGCUGGACUGCAAUGAUAAAUAAGGGGCAAUUUGCAUUGUAUGGCUUCUAAACCAUUUAAAGUUCAUAAUUUAUUUUAUAAACGACAAUGGAUGUGAUGCCAAU
rfam:Drosophila sechellia strain Rob3c scaffold_10333 genomic scaffold, whole genome shotgun sequence.